rnacentral:rRNA from 1 species
AUGAACGCUGGCGGCGUGCCUCAUACAUGCAAGUCGCGCGAACGGACGAGAAGCUUGCUUCUCUGAUGUUAGCGGCGGACGGGUGAGUAACACGCGGAUAACCUACCUAUAAGACUGGGAUAACUUCGGGAAACCGGAGCUAAUACCGGAUGAUAUUUUGAACCGCAUGGUUCAAAAGUGAAAGACGGUCUUGCUGUCACUUAUAGAUGGAUCCGCGCUGCAUUAGCUAGUUGGUAAGGUAACGGCUUACCAAGGCAACGAUGCAUAGCCGACCUGAGAGGGUGAUCGGCCACACUGGAACUGAGACACGGUCCAGACUCCUACGGGAGGCAGCAGUAGGGAAUCUUCCGCAAUGGGCGAAAGCCUGACGGAGCAACGCCGCGUGAGUGAUGAAGGUCUUCGGAUCGUAAAACUCUGUUAUUAGGGAAGAACAUAUGUGUAAGUAACUGUGCACAUCUUGACGGUACCUAAUCAGAAAGCCACGGCUAACUACGUG